UCAUCAGACGACUAAAUCGUGGUCAAAAUCGUACAGUGUGAACCGGCUUAAGUAUUUAUACUCAGCUGUUGCUUAUAAAUCCAAACAUUUCUGCAUAUUGCAGCUAAAUAUCAGUUAAAACAAUAUGAUUUAAUAUUUAUUCUGCUAGCAUGGAUCUGUCCCUCUUCUGACAUACGCUCAGGGUCUUAUUGUGGUAAAAUGUUUUUCCUUCAGCCUGCUAGGAUGUUCAUGUUAGCAUUGUUGGUGGAUGGUGUAAAGAAAAUAAACUGAUAAAAUGAUGAAUGUGCUCGGAUCUGUACGCACCGUCUAAGAAGAACACCGGUGAUGUGAGCAGAUUAUUGGACUGACAAAAUACAGAACAGGAUGUAGGACCGUGUGGCUAAAACCAGGUGUGAAACAGCAGCACUUGUCCUCAGAGCGCUGGAGGGAGUGUGUGAGAAAUGGCCAAACUCCUGUCUACAUUUCUUCUACAGAUGCUGUUUGGUUUCUUUACACCGUGUCUCCUUGAGAUCGCUUCAACUGAUCAUUUAUCUGUCCAUCCUGGAGAGAACAUCACCCUGCUCUGUAACAUCACUAAUUAUUCUGAGAUAUCGUGGUAUCGACUGAGAUCUGAGGAGGUGAAGCUGCUGAUAUCUGCUGAAAAAUUUAAACUAGAGAAAACCUUUUCCCUCAGUUAUAAUGUGAACGAGAGUCACUUUGAUAUAACAGAAAGCAGCAGUUCAGUCAGUUUAGUGAUUAUUGGAGUUAGAGAGACAGAUCUGGGAUUUUAUUUCUGUGGAGGUCGAAACAGAACGACACACAUUCAGUUUGGGAAACUCAUCAGACUGGACUUUACAGCUGAUCAGCAUCAUGAGACUGAUCGUUCAGACACACAGCAGUCUGUAGGUCCUGCACUCUGUGGAAUUAUUAUUAUAAUCCUAUCAUGUGUGUGUGCGGUCUUUGUUUCAAUAAGCAUCAUCUGCUCCUCUCUGUACUGUUCCACACUACAAGGCCGUACAGCAGCCCUUAUACACUAGUGCAGAAUGAAUGUGUAAUGAAAAGAUAAGUGUUCUUCCACUGGGGACUCAAACGAGAAGAUGUUUCUCUCUGCAGGAAGUGGACCUGCACCUGUCUGAUUUGACCUCUGUGACCUACACAAGUGUCUCCUGAUGGCCCAGAAAACAUCAGCAGCAUGAGGAUCAGAAUCAGCAGAGAACCUGCUACGAUCCCAUCGACCUCGCAUACAUCAAGUACUCACUAAUAAUCCGUGUGGUCUGAAGAUUAAUGACUUCCAGUUCUGCCCCCAAAAGCAUGUUAUCUGGGUGAUUCCCCAACUGUGCCGUCAUUCAGCUCUCGUAACUCUUAAACUUCAAUUUUUUAAAUAGUUGUUCAACAAUGAAUCGAGGAAAACGUUCAUUUAACUAUUCAAAAAUGUCUUAACUUCAAACAACAACAAUAAUAAUUUAUUUACAAGGAUUCUUUCGUACAUUUUGCUCUUAAAAGAGUUCCA